rnacentral:lncRNA from 1 species
AUGGCAUUAAACUUCCUGGAAAUCCCAAGACUGCUGUUGAACACGGAAACAGGUAUUUCAGAGGAUGUGGAGAUGACUAAGGAAACCAGGCGAGUUACAGGACAUCUGCUUUUGGCUAAUGCACCACAGAACACCACCUUUCCCUGGCUCGUUUUACAGCUGGACACGCUUCCAGGUGGGAAAGGCAGCAGGUGAGGAAACCUGGUCACAGCUUUUCCUUGUGUACAGUGUGCUCCUGAGCCAGUCACAAAGAGCAUCAUCCUGGCAGAAACUCUGGAUUUAAAUGUACAAGAGAGAGACUGGAG